CCUGUCUUUAUCCAUUAUUCAUGAAUAUUUUGACUACCCCUUGUAUUAAUUGAGUAGAAAUUUAUUUCUGUGUUAAAAUAAUUUGGUUACAGCAGCAAAAAUACUUACCAAAACAUAAAUAUUACAUUCACUCUUGGAAUAUUAAAUUAAUAUUAAAUUAUUAUCCCUAUUAUGGCACAUAGGGACACAUAGGGCCUAUUUCACUAGGACUGAGUUCUGAAAAGUGAUAAAAUGUGUUUCUCUAAUUUUUUUGCACAUGUUUACAGUAUCAAAAUAUAUUUAAUAAGAUUAUUUUAAUAACAUCCACAUGUAAAUGACAGCAUAUGGUGCUUGAUAUAACAAUAGUUUGUUCAUGAUAGUGUCAAGCAAAGGGACGUAACUAGUGAAUUACCG
rnacentral:lncRNA from 1 species